rnacentral:sRNA from 1 species
AAGCUCAACAAUUGCAUAAGGUUCGGGGCACUCAUC